AAAAAAACAACAUAGACUGCAGCCGACUGGACAAAAUCGCUCAUUCAUGCAAAUGAAUACAAUCAUGCAUUAAUACUCAAAAGAACAACGGGCCACAUACAAAGUAGAUGAACAUAUAGCAACAAGAAAAUAGUAAUCACAGAGUACUAAUUCUCAUCACACGUGUAUGGAACAAUAGAAAGAAAUUGAAUACAGGGAAUACUACACCACUUAUUCUAAUAAUAGCACACUGUGGCUCCGUAUUGGGUCUCCUCCGUCAAGUGUCGUAUAUAAGUAUCCCAUCAAUUAUGUGUUGCCGGUGGUUUGCACUUCGGAGGCGGCUUCGGUUUCGGUUCAGGUUUAGGCUUGGGCUCCGGCUUUGGUUCGGGUUUCGGCAUCGGCUCGGGCUUAGGACCUGGCUUUGGUUUGGAGCAGGGCUCGGGCUUUGGUUUUGGCAUUGGCUUGGGCUUGGGUUCUGGUUCGGGCUUCUCUCCGGGCUUUUGUUUAGGCUUUGGUUUGGGUUUUGGCAUCGGUUCAGGUUUGCAGGGCUCUGGCUCUGGUUGUGGCGCAGGUUUGGACAUUGGCUCUGGUUGUGGCGCAGGUUUGGACAUUGGCUCUGCUUUGGGUUCUGGCUUUGGCUCUAGCUCUGCAAAAUUCUCGACAGCAGCAAGGCCUCGGCCAGCCGCAACAACUUGGUUGAGAGUGGAGGCUGCAACUACCCCGAUGAGGAGCACGGCGAGGAGGCGAUGCCUCGCCAUUGCUGCCUACUUCUUGUGCUUGCAAGUUGUGUUGCACCUGUUGUGGUUUGUGUGUGUUUGUGUAUGUUGUGUGGAGAAUGGAGAUACAUAUGGUGUGGUUUUAUAGGCAGGGUGAAACAAAGCAGAUCUAGAUGCUGCAUUAAUUAACAUUGCAGCUAGCUAGCUGGAGUGACAAGUAGUACUGCGUAACAUGGCAAUGGAGCUAUAUUGGUCGAUUAGUUGAUUACAAAUGAAGCAACCAACGUAGCUAGAGGUGUUAAUAAGCACAGCUGGAUUUUGCGUGUGUGUCUCUAUGUGAUGAUAGUGGGGUGAGUAACAAUAUUUUUACUCUAUUGGUUGGCCUCCUGGUAGUAAUAGAAUCAUGUUAGUUGCCUUGUCAGUCCUGUUCACACGUCCAUGUGACCGGCCAUCAUUUAGAAAUCAAGAUCGAUGCUGUACACGUUAGUGCCAUUACAAAGUAGAAAAAGAAAAAGAAAAAAGCAACCGCUUCAGUUCAAUUCACAAUUCCAAGUUUUUGCGCACUCGUGUUUUCUCAAGCACUCUAUCUAGCCCGGUAUAGUUGGGCAGUUUCAGAAUUGUAGAUACCAAUGAGGAUUUUAUCAUGCUUAUUGUCUCAAAUUAUUAAAUCUUAUAACUCUCUGAUAAGCUAGGUUAUUUUGACGUUGCAUGCCCCUCAUUCUCCAGUCUCAUGCAUGCGUGUGCUUUAGACUUUAGUUAUGCAUGUAUGAUUUUCCAAAAAGGGUUUCAUGGAGACGGAGCUCCAAAACGAACUGGGUUGGUGAGUUUAGCACCGCCAUAUAUUCUGAUAGAGUAAGGAUUAUAUUGUGGUAAUGUUCUUUCCCUCCGUUUGUCAUAUUUUGAAUCAAGAGGGUUUCAUUGUAAUUCUUAGUUAUAGGAGUUAUUUUAUAAUUUCUUGUAUCUAUGAUCGAAGCAUUGUAUCUAUGAUUUUGUUGAGUUUGAAUAAAGUCACAUGCCCUUCUGAGCCACGCGGAAUACCGCACCACCAAUCGCGCUCACGCUUGAGACCGCCGUCGCCGGUGGCUGAUCUCCCUCCUCUGGUCGCCUCCGGCCCAGCCAAGUACAGAUCCGGGACCCUCCCGACGUCCUCUCUCCAGCCAUCCCGAAGUUUGGCACCGUCUUCACCGGUUCUCUCCCCGCUGAGCGGCUCGAGUUGGGCCCUCCACCUCUCCCGGUCCCGGUCACGUGCGGCUGCGCGGCCGCAUCGGGGCGCCCCUGUGGGCCCGAGCAAGCCCCCUGCGCCUUUCUAUUCUCUCGCCUCCGCCGAAGCCGUCGCGGGGCAAAAUCCUGGCAGCAGGACCCCUCGGUCAUCGUUCUCGAGCGUGGGGGCGGCGCUACUCCAGGCGGUGAUGCUCCGGUGUCAGGGGAUCCUUCCUUGGCUUGUGGAGCUGCGGUGGCGGCGGUGAGCCACAAUUUUGGAUGGCGGCGCGGCGCCGUCGUUUAGGCCGGUGUCUCCGGUGGUCGUGGAGGUGCUGGUCGUCCGGUUAGAGGUGACGAGGUCAUGGCUGAUGCUGGAGGAUGUGGCUGGAGCUGAUGCGGGGUGUGCCGUUGCUACUACGGGGCGGAUCUAGCAGGCUUGCCGUGGUGGGCGCCAGAUCCGACCGGUUUGGCUGGCUCCGGCUCGCCGGCUUUUGCAGGCGGUGAGGUUGAUGGCUCCUGCGUGAGGGUGGCGUCGUCGUCGCGUAGGAGGUGUGUGGUACAGCGGGCUUGCAGACCAGUGGUGAUGCGCCACCGGUUGCAUGUGUGGGGGGGGGGGCUCAGCGAGGUGGCUCCAGGCGAAAUCCUAGACGGCACGACGUCCGUGAACGUCGUUUUUCCUCCUUGGGGGUCGUUGUGGAGCCCUUCCUUGCCCAACACCUUCGAACCAUGGACGCCCCCCCUUGGGGGCGUUGCCUUGAGGGUCACUGGUCUCUUCCGUGCUUUCCGGAGCUGGACACACACGACAUCGGGGUCGGCAGGUACCCGUCUGGCGAUGUGGUUGGCGCGACUUCUUGUGUGGUGACGAUGGCGGCUUCAAGCGAAGUUGGUUUGCUGUUGAGUUUUGGUAGUCGGUCUCAUCCCGCGUGUUCGAGGGGUUGCCGCGCCUCACUUUGUCUUCCUGGAGUCGGAGCUGCUGAGGCGGGGCCUUGCGACGACGAUGACGCGAGGCGGGUGGUCGAUUGUGGCGCUGGCUCGGCUCAGGCUCAGUUGUUUUCUCCUACAAUGCUCGUCGACAGAGUUGGAACUGCUUGGUAGUUGGCGUGUGCGGUUGACUGUUUGGCAGUGGCCGGCAUGGGCCUCGGUGUUUGCUUGUGGUGAGGGCUGUUUUGAUGGUCAUCGAUGAUGUAGUCGGAGUCGCCCUUGUGUAGGUGUGAUGAUGAUGACACCGGGUUGCAGCCUCGACGGUGUUCUCUCUUCGGCGACGUGUGUGCGUUCUUAUGUGGGUUGUCACGUCGCCAUGCGUAUCCUGUAUGGACGUGGUGUAGCAGGUUUCACUCGGUUUUUCGUUAAUUAACCCAGCAAUUCUCUUUUUCUUAAUUAAUGGGAUGAGACAAUGCUUUUGCCUGCGUUUAAAAAAACACUAGCUAGCCGACAGUUUGUUCAAUGCGUGCUGUCAUUUUGCACAAAUGCCUAUGUCUCUACCUACUGUGAGGCGCUCACUUGUUGGGAUGUGGUGCGGGCUGUGGUCCGGUUGCGGUGGAGGAGUAACAUUAGUUUGUUUCGUGCAAUUUUCAAAACAUUUCGUCGGAGUUUUUUUCCUGUUUUCUUUAUUGGGUUUCUUUUUUUUCAUUUUCCCUUUUACUUUUUCUGUUCAUUUAUUUCAUGUAUUGUUUUGUAUUUUAUUUUUCCAUAUUUCAAAUACAGCUUGAUUUUUUUUUCAAAAUAGUAAACAUUUUAAAGUAACCAUAGAAUAUUUUCUAAUACAUGUUUGAACGUUUUAUAAGUACAUGGUGAACAAUUUUUAUAUACAAUGAAUAUUUCUCUAAAAACUGCAAGAACACAUUCUGUUUAUUUAAUGAACAUUUUUAUAUUGCCAUGACCAAUUUUAUAAACAUGCGAAAAAAAUUAAAAUGUAGUGUUUUUUUGGAACAAUGCGAAUAUGAAUUUUAAAACUCUGGAAUAAUUUUUAAGACAAGUUGACAUUUUUUAUUUUUUUACGAGAAAACUUCGGAUGUAUUUAUCCAUUGUCAUGUUAGUAUAAGAAUACCAGAACUAACAUAACUUACAUUCAGAUCCAUAGACCAUCUAACGAUGUCUACAAUCACUUGAUCAAGCCGAAAGUGCACCAUGAUCCUCACUCCUCCCUCAUCGGAGUCGGACAAUGUCCAGUCAUGUUUUUUUUACAAACUGUUAAUCAUGUAUGAAUUUUUCUAUUGUGUAUUUCAAAAUUAUCAUGGAUUUUUAAAAAAUAUUGUGCAUUUUUAGAAAAACUGUUAUUUCAAAGGUUCAUCAUGUAUGAAAAGAAAUCUUCAUCAUAAAUUGUUCAAAUUGUCCACAGUGUAUAAAUUCAGAAAAAUAUGAAGACUUUUUAAUUCUAUGUGUAUUUGAAAAAUGUUUAAUAUUUUGAAACGUUUUAUAAAUACACGAUGAAUAUUUUUAAGUAUAUUAACAGCUAUUAUACUGCAUGAUCACCUAUCAAUAGUACAAACCCAUAUAUUUUAUACGCGAUGAAAAAAUCUGUUAAUAAUAAUUUUCAUGGUGCCUUUUCUUGGAAAUCUUGACCUAGGGUGUAGUUACCUUUCACACAUAUCCGAUAUAUAUUUAAGUAAGUCAUCCCAUUUAAAUGCACAUGCAUGUCAAUCACAUUAUGAAGGGUAUGCAACCAAUAAACUUCCACUUACCACUUUUCAUCACAUGCAGGUCCUCGAUAUCAUCAAGCGUGCAUGUAAUCAUUCGACGUUUCACUUCUCAUCAUAUGCAAGUUCCACAUCAUCAAACACAUGAAAGCUCUUCACCUCAUUAUUUUUUACUAUUUAUUUUUUAGCAACAAAUAAUUGAACUUGAAGGUCACAAGAAAAUAUAUUAUGCGUGCACCCUCUAGUUACAUCUAGGUUUUCUAUUGCCAUAUGCUGAGAAUGUUGUGUGGUAUUAUUCCUACAUAUGCUAUUUUUCAUAAUUUCAUUGCUAUAAAUUUUCGUGACAAUGUGUGUGACGUUUACCUAGUAGUAGCAGAGCCAGCUUACUCACACAGCCUGGGCAUAAAUAUAACAGCGUGCCUAGAACUUAUCUAGACCAGAUAUAAUUUAGUCGCAUUCAUCUAGAAAAUCAAAACAGAUACAAAGUAGUACUACAACUCACGUCGGCACACGCACAUCUUAUAGUCACAUCCAAUGACUAUAAAAGAUGAACGAGACAUAACUAAAAUUCAGUUAGAUGAGUUUUAGCAAAACCGUAAAUAUAACGCACUCGGUCGGGACUUACUUCGUAGGUGAAGGGUAGAGAAGAAGGCCACUGUCUUGCGUGUGAGUGCACUUUAUACAUCUAGAACACCAGACACGUAUACAUAUGUGAUAUGUCUGCUGCUAGGAAGUCAUUCUCUUCUCUUUUGUUGACAUUAGCUUUCCCCCCAAAAAAGACCAUAUAAUAUGAAACAAUCACAUAGAGAGAAAAUAACAGGGACUGCACCCCAUAGAGAAAACAACAUAGACUGCAGUCCACUGACAAAAUAGCUCAUUUAUGUUUUGUUGUUUGGAAAAGGAGGUUCAAACCCCCGGCCUCUGCAUCAAUCGAUGCAUACGGUAGCUCAUUUAUGUGAAUACAAUCAUGCGUAGAUACUCCAAAGAACAACAAGUCGAGUCACAAUGUCCCAUACAAAGUAGAUGAACAUAUACCAACAAGCAAAUACUAGUAAUUACAGAGUACUAGUACUCAUCACGCGUAUAUGGAAAAAUAGAAUGAAAUGGAAUACAGGGAAUACUACUACACCACUUAUUCUAGAAAUAGCACAGUGGGGCUUGGUACGGGGUCUCCUCCUCCAUCAACUCUCAUAUAUAAGUAUCCCAUCAGUCGUGAGCUGCCGGUGGUUUGCACUUCGGAGGUGGUUCAGGUUUAGGCUCGGGCUCCGGCUUUGGUUCGGGUUUCGGCAUCGGCUCGGGCUUAGGAUCUGGCUUUGGUUUGGAGCAGGGCUCAGGCUUUGGUUUUGGCAUUGGCUUGGGCUUGGGUUCUGGUUCGGGCUUCUCUCCAGGCUUUUCUUCAGGCUUUGGUUUCGGCAUCGGUUCAGGUUUGCAGGGCUCUGGCUCUGGUUGUGGUGUAGGUUUGGACAUUGGCUCUGGUUUGGGUUCUGGCUUUGGCUCUAUCUCUGCAAAAAUUUCGACAGCAGGAAGGCCUCGGUCAGCCGCGGCAGCUUGGUUGAGAGUGGAGGCUGCAACUACCCCAAUGAGGAUCAUGGCGAGGAGGCGAUGCCUCGCCAUUGCUGCCUACUUCUUGUGCUUGCAGCUAGUGUUGCACACCUGCUGUGCUUUGUGUGUGGUUGUGUGUGUUGUGUGGAGAACUGGAGAUACAUAUUGUGUGGUUUUAUAGGCUGGGUGAAACAAAGCAGAUCUGGAGGCUGCAUUAAUUAGCAUUGGUUGAUUAGUUGAGUACAAAUGAAGCAACAACCAACGUAGCUAGAGGUGUUAAUAAGAACAGUUGGAUUUUGCCUGAGUGUGUCUCUAAUGCGAUGAUAGUAGGGUGAGUAACAAUAUUUUUACUCUAUUGGUUGCCUCCCGGUAGUAAUAGAAUUCUGUUAGUUGCCUUGUUAAUCUUGUUCACACGUCCUUGUUAGUUGCAUCAUUUAGAAAAAUCAAGAUCGACAGUGUACACGUUAGAGUAAUGCACUACAAGUAAAAAAGCAAUCGCUUGAGUUCAAUUCACAAUGAAAAGUGAAGGUAGUCUUUGAAGAGGAACUGGCUUGAUCGUACGUGCACGUCGUGUGUGAGCUUCACCACCUGUUGGAAACCCUCAAGACUCCUUGGUCUGCUUCCUCGACCGAGUUUUCACGAACUCUGCUGUGUUUUCUCAAGUGGUUUUCAAGAAGGUGGCGUUGGAUUAAUCCAUGCACAAGUUUUGCCAGAUUAUGCUGAAUGAUAUAACAAAAGUGAAGGUGUACAUCAUUUGAUGUCGAUGACGGGGUUCCUCCUUUAACAAAUAAGUGUUUUCUCAAACACUCCCUCUGGCCGGUAUACUGGGCACAGUUCCAAAAUUGUAGAUAUCAAUGAGGAUUUUAUCACGCUUAUUGUCUUAAAUUAUUAAAUCUUAUUAACUCUCCGACAAACUAAGAGCAACUCUAACAGAUCGUGUAUUCUAUGAAACUGUAGAUGUGAUUUAUAGUUCGCACAGCAGGAUCUAUACAGGCUGAAAAUUACAGCGGUAGAAUAGAAACCGUAAAAGAAACUCAAAUUUGCUUGUUGGCUUGAUGACGUGAGUCUCGCCGCCUCCUUCUCCCCUAAUAAUAAAGCAACUAACGCUUCGGUCGUCCGUCGUCGCCGAUCGCAGGACGUUUUGCAGAAAGGCUCCUAAGGUUUUAGGUAUUCAACCCGCGGUCCCUUUUAAGUGGUAUCUGAGAAAACGUUUCAGUUUUGCAAAUUAACCACUGCAUCUCGUGAGAAUUCGAUCCGCACUCCUUUGUUCUAUCUUCUCUAGUGGUGGAGAAGGUGGAAGGGGAAUAACUUCAGCUCGGCUCGUCGGCGAGCGUGUUGCAGGAGGCCGACGAGGAGGCCAGUGGGCGUUGUGCGCUUACAGGGGAGCGGGUAGGCCGGAGGUGGAGGGGAUGGCCGGAGGCUGAGGGCAGUGGAGAGAGAGGCCGAGAGAGUCGGCCCGAGGGAGGGGGGACUGAGAGAAAGAGAGAGAGAGUGUGUGUGUGAGCCGGAGAGGGGCGGUCGCCGGAGCCGGACCUCCAGAACAACGACGCAACAAUCUGGAUGGCACAACGGCUUUGAUCCCGGAGAAUGGUGAUUGAUGGCUGCCAACAGACGGAUCCGGGCGAAGGAGGCUCUGAGAGGCGCAUGGAAGGCUGUCAAGGUUGGGGGCGCCGGAUCCAGAGUUCGCAUGGUGAGAGAUGGGGAGAGGGUAGAAUCUUGCUAGUAUAAGACGAGUUAGAGAAGCGGCAACGCCUGCAGAACAGAGCAUGAAGGCAGCUCCUUUUGAGGAGGCGACGACGGACGACAGAGCUCGUGACUGCGACCUUCUCGGCUCCUGCCGGCGUGGUCACUCAAUUCGCUCCACGGCGCGAUGGCCCAUUGCCGGCAAGGCAGCGUUCUGCAACGCACCAGCCUGCAAUGGAGGCGGUGUCCAUGGUGCAGCCGUGGCCUUCAGCGCACACCGCGGGGGAAGUGCUACCGGACACCGGCUUGGCCCCGAUGCUGCUCCUCCCAGACGGUGGUACCCAUGGCCUGGCCCACUAGCCCCCGACUGAGCUCCCAGCAGAGGCGCACAUCGAUGGAGGCUUCGAGCAGGCCGCUCUGCCAUGCUUGUGCAAUGGGGGUCUGCCCGCGUGCUGGGGUGGGGAUGCACGGAUGGACAGAUCCUGGCAGUGGCUGCCACGGUGGCCGGGCACUAAGUACCGGAGUGAUUCGUGGGUGCAGCACGGACAGCUGUUGUGAGGAGCACAGCCAGGCAUCAGCGCUGGUCUCCUCUUCUCUGUAGCUGCAGGAGGAAUGGUGAUGUUUUGGAUAAGGGUCACGUAGUGCGCAGUUAGGUGAAGAUUUAGUGCCUAUUGCUAUUUUUUGAUCAAUAGUUGUUGGUAGAUGUACACGGACUUAAGCUGCUGGAUACUUCGGUGCUCAUCCCGUUGGAUUUAUAUGCGAUUGUUCGUGACGUUCCAACAAAUUGUUAUUUGCUAGAUGUUCUUUUUCACAUUAGUUCAUUAUAAUUAUUUGAUUGUACCGCCUUAUAGAGCAUCUACAACCGGACUUAACAAAUCUGACCUCUCAAACGUUCAUGGAAACGUCCGGACGCAUCUGCGGACGUUGAUCAAUUAAGCCUCAAAUAACGAAUUCUACAACCGGAUACUUUAAAUUAGAAACCUCAAAUAUAUAUUAUUACAUGCAACAUAAAUCUAAUAUUAAGCGUGGCUCGUUUGGGUCCGCCCUGUCCAUGUCGAAAGGCUAGAUAUGCCCUUCAUAGUGUCCGUCCGAUCGUUAGCAAGGUAGAGUAGGACAUGGGACACUGGCCGGUUCAUGGAAGUCGAGUUUCCGUCGUCUUCCAUGCCCAAUUCUUCCUUAAAUUUAUCACUUAGUGUUACUACAGAACAAUCCAACCGUCAACUGCAAAGUUAGUAUACGGAACUACAUGAUCAGCUUCAAGGAGCAUGUCUACGUGCUCCAACACUAGCGCAUUCAUGAAUAUUUGUUUAUAAUUUGUACAAAAACUUAUUUGGACUUAUUUAAAAUUGUAAACAUUCUAAUGAUCCUAUUUUAUAAUGUUUGUAUAAGUAAAAUCAAAUUUCAUGGCUAAAAGAAAUACUCAGUGUAACCUUACUUCUAAAGCUUGCAAAAAUUAGAUUAAAAUAAUAUUGCAUAAUGACACAGGAAGAAAAUUAUAUUUAACAUUUCGGCCGGUGCAACGGCACGGGCAUUUGUAUUAGUAGAUGUCUAUGACAGCAAGGCACGAACUUGUCACUCCCCGUAGGCAUAUUACCAGUGCCACCCAUUCGUCGAAGCAUGUUAAAUGUUAGCGCACUAAUUUAUAAAAAAAUAAUUUGUGCAUUUACUUUUGUUGUCAGUUUUAGGAUUAAUAUAAUGUUGCUUAAAAAUAUUUGUCGGGUGCUGAAAAAAGGGGAAAAGGACGAUCAAUUUGCCAACUUCACACAAGGGCUCUCAAAAUCAUAGAGCCGACCCUGCCAGCACCAUGUGACUUGUGAGAGAUUAUUAUGGCUUCUCGUAUGUUGUGUAGCACUAUCAUUAAGAGCAAUUCUAGCAGACCCUGCAUCCGCCCCCGAUCUGCAAAAUAACCGCUAAAAUGCGGGUACGGACCGAAAAGCCUGUCCGACCAGACCCUGCAUCCCAUCCCGGCCCGUAAAUUUUUUUCAGGGGCGCGGCAAAUUCUCGACCCCAACCCGGGAAAACACGGGUUUCCCCCUCGCGGCUGCGGUGCCCUGCAUCACAGAGAAGCAGUUGGCGGGAGGGACAUUUCAGCCCGUGCUCUUUUCCCCCUCCUUCCGCCGCCGCCCACCCUUGCUUCCGCUCGCCCGCCGCCGGCGAUUCCGGCCAUAUCUGCAGGCGAGCCGCUGCAUCGCCCCUCCAGAUCCGGCGAGAAGAGUCGCCCCCCCCCACCGCCGGGGAUCGACCACCGUCAAGCGCACCCCCUCGUCGCCGCCCGGGAUCACCCGCCACCGGUUAGUCCCCUUUUUGCGAUUUUUGCGAGCUGUGCGAGAAGAUGGAGUUGACCCCGUGCGAGAAGUUUUUACUAUCCGAUUCGUCCGAUUCGGACGACUCGUAUGUUGAGACCAUGCUUGCGAUCUUUCGGCAGCAAACAUUAGUCAUGGCGCUUGCCGUGAAGGAGCAUGAAGACGAGCACUGGAAGAGGAGGCGAGGAUCGAUUGUCGGGCGCUUGUGCAUUCCUCGAAAUCGCCAUCUUGGGAACGAGAUGUUGAUGCAAGACUAUUUCGCGGAGAAUCCUACAUAUCCUCCGCACCUCUUCCGGAGAAGGUACCGAAUGCGCCGAUCCCUCUUUGUGAAACUUGUUCAAGCUUGCGAGGCAAAUUGCCGGUAUUUUACUCAAAGAAGGAAUGUCGCGGGCUGAAAGGCUUGGUUGUUGUUGUUGUUGUUGUUGUUGUAAGGAAUGCUGCGGGCUUAAAGGGAUUUAGUGCAUAUCAAAAAAUCUCCGCACCUAUGGGGGGUGAUUGCAUAUGGCGUUCCGGCUGACUAUGCCGAUGAGUAUCUUCGUAUUGGUGAAUAUAGCACAAUUGAGUCUGUGCGUAGAUUUGCGAAAGUGAUCAUCCGUGUCUUCGGUCCUGAGUAUCUUCGGGCACCCAAUGAAGGACACAAAGAAAUUGAUGGCAUCUGAUGAGAGGAGAGGUUGGCCUGGCAUGCUAGGUAGCAUUGAUUGUAUGCAUUGAAAUUGGAAAAAUUGCCCCAAGGCUUGGCAAAGAAUGUAUUGUGGCAAGUCUAGUGAUGCAACAAUUGUGCUAGAGGCCGUAGCAUCUGAAGAUUUAUGGAUUUGACAUUGCUUUUUUGGUAUGUCGGGAACUCUCAAUGAUAUCAUUGUGUUGCAACGGUCUCAUUUAUUUGCUAGGCUUGCUAGUGGUGAUGCUCCUGCUUGCAACUACAUUAUCAAUGGGCAUGAAUACACAAAGGGGUACUAUCUUGCAGAUGGUAUGUACCCUCCUUGGUGCACAUUUAUCAAGAGCAUCAAAGAACCCAAAACAAAAAAACAAUGUGAAUUUGCAAGGGUGCAAGAGGCAGCCCGCAAAGACAUUGAAAGAGUAUUCGGUGUUUUGCAAUCUAGGUUUGCCAUUGUCCGUGAUCCUGCUCGUUUUUGGGAUAAGAAAACCUUGAAGAACAUCUUGACAUGUUGUGUUAUCCUGCACAAUAUGAUUCUUGAAGAUGAGAGAGGAUUGGACUUAGAAUUAUUUUACGACAAUGUGGGUAGCCGUGUUUAACCAGCUAGAGACCCAAACCACAUUAGAGAUUUUCUUCAGACAUACAAGGAGAUUGAAAAUGCAGACACGUACUUUCAACUUCAGGAAGAUCUCAUUGAGCACCAUUGGCAAAGGGCUGGACAGUGACUUAUUUUUGUAUUCAUUUGUAUUUGCAUUCAUGACAAGUUUUGUAUUGCACUAUUUAAGUUUGCUACGGUUAUUUGAAUAAUUAUUUAUAAUGCGGAUGAUUAUUGUAUUAUGUUUGAUUCGAAUAAUUUAGUUUGUUUUCGAUUGUUGAAUUAUGUUGUAUUUGAUACUUGCGGGUUGAUGAUAUGCGGGAUGUAGCGGCGCAAAGAGCAGACCCCGCAAAGCCGACCCGUUAAAAAGUAUAUUCCACGAAUGUAUUUUUUUACGGAUCCGUUUGGGGGGUCUGCAUAUGUGUCAGCCUGCAAAAGCUGUUUUGCGCGAACUGCAAACGCGUGUUGUGGACCGGCGGGAUGUGGGGUCUGCUAGAGUUGCUCUAAGAGAUUUUUCUUCGUGCGAACUGAGUAAGAGAAAAUCUUUUAAAAUAACUUUCAUGGUGCCUUUUCUUCGUAAUCUUGACCUAUGGGGUGUAGUUACACGUAAUCUUUGUAAUCUUGUUGGCAGCGCAGGUGGUGGCGGCAACGCAGGACGGCCGGCGGGCGAACGGGACAGAGCAGCAUCGAGUGGCCACCCCUAGGAUUGAUUUGGGGACGUUGUUGGAUGGUCUCACAUGUCAGAUCCAGACCCACAUCCAUGCGGUUCCACAUGUAAGAUCCGGACCCACUAUCACUAACGCCGGCGGACGGAAUGGACUCAAAACUGCCCGUUUGGCCUCGUCAUAGUAGUUGCGCACGGGCUAGAGGCAAAACUGAGCACGAUUUGCAACUGAGGGCAAAAGUGAGCAUAUGGACACCACUGAGAACAAAAAGAUAAUUAUCCCUAUUAAAUAGUGGUGCUUUUUCUACGAAUAUAAUCAAUUCCAUAAUGCUAUCCGCUUUGACCAUCCUAUUACCCUAAAUGGAAAGCAAAGUAGGUUAUUCAGCACACCAUAACUUCGUUCCUUGGUUGACUGCCUGGCCUUCAAGAAACUAGAAAAAAUGUAAUAACUCACUUCACUAUGAGCGGCUCCCUCCCCACCAAUUGGGUAGAUGGAAGCUAUAUACGUAUAGAAAAAAGUAAACCACAAUGAGAAACAUACUUGCCCCAUUAGCAUCCAUAUGACGGAGCAACCAGCCCCCUUCAACAUCUUUCAUAAUGUGUUCUACGCUGUUGAAAGCUAGAUCCACAUGAGGUGUGUGAUGCAUAAUACACCUCAAUGUGUGCUGCUAUUUAGGGAGUCCUUCUCGGGAGGGGCGUUUUGGCUCCCGGGUACAAAUGCUCCUGGGUGAACAGUAACGCAAAAAUUAUUAGAAAACAAUUUAAAAAAAUCUGAAUUUAUUUGUGGGUGUUCGUGUUAGUGUCACAAACAUGCCUGCCAAAUUUCAUGCAAAACGAAGCAGUGCUGCUUCGUCGGUGAAAAAAACAAAUUUGGAUGACAUUUUGAGAUAACAUUUGGUGUUUUAGUUUGUUUUUUCUUUUACACGGGCAAAAAAAAUUAAGCUUUUUGCCUAAAAAAUUUCAGGUAGCAUUUGGAUGUGAGAAAGAACACAUAAAAAUUGUGUUAUGAUUAUUUGACAUUUCAAAAAUUAUUUUCCAUAGGCAGGUGCACGUGCACCCAGGAGCCGAAUUGCAUUUCCGGUCCUUCUCUUCUUUUUAGUUGGCAUCAUCUUUGCCCCAAAAAAGACCACAUAAAAUGAAACAAUCCCUUUUAGAAAAUAACUGAGGCUGCACCACAUAGAGAAAACAACAUAGACCGCAGUCCACUUAUAAAAUAGCUCAUCCAUGUAAAUGAAUACAAUCAUGCGCAGAUACUCAAGAGAACAACAAUUCGACUCACAUACAAAGUAGAGGAACAUAUAUCAACAAGCAAAUAAUAAUUACAGAGUACUAAUACUCAUCACACGUGCAUGGAACAAUAGAGAGAAAUGGAAUACAAGGAAUAUUACACCACUUAUUCUAGAAAUAGCAAAGUGUGGCGUAUGGGGUCUCCUCCAUCAACUGUCAUAUAUAGGUAUCCCAUCAAUUGUGUGCUGUCGGUGGUUUGCACUUCGGAGGCGGCAUCGGUUUCGGUUCAGGUUUAGGCUUGGGCUCCGGCUUUGGUUCGGGUUUCGGCAUCGACUUGGGCUUAGGCUCUGGCUUUGGUUUGGAGCAGGGGACGGGCUUGGGUUUUGGCAUCGGCUUGGGCUUGGGUUUUGGUCCAGGCUUCUCCCCUGGCUUUUGUUCAGGCUUUGGUUUGGGUUUGGGCAUCGGUUCAGGUUUGCAUGGCUCUGGCUCUGGGUGUGGCAUAUAUUUGGGCAUUUGCUCUUGUUUGGGUUCUGGCUUUGGCUUUACCUCUGCAAACUUCUCGACGGCAGCAAGGUCUCGCCCAGCCGCAGCUCCUUGGUUGAAGGCGGAGGCUGCAACUACCCCGACGAGGAGCACGGCGAGAAGGCAUUGCCUCGCCAUUGCUGCCUAUUUCUUGUGCUUGCAGCUAGUGUUGCACCUGCUGUGUUCUGUGUGUGCGCGCGCGUGUGUUGUGUGCAUAACUGGUUGUACAUAUUGCGUGAUUUUAUAGGAUGGGUGAAACAAAGCAGAUCUGGAGGCUGCAUUAAU
rnacentral:lncRNA from 1 species